rnacentral:rRNA from 1 species
GACGAACGCUGGCGGCGUGCUUAACACAUGCCAAUCGAACGGAAAGGCCCUGCUUUUGUGGGGUGCUCGAGUGGCGAACGGGUGAGUAACACGUGAGUAACCUGCCCUUGACUUUGGGAUAACUUCAGGAAACUGGGGCUAAUACCGGAUAGGAGCUCCUGCUGCAUGGUGGGGGUUGGAAAGUUUCGGCGGUUGGGGAUGGACUCGCGGCUUAUCAGCUCGUUGGUGGGGUAGUGGCUUACCAAGGCUUUGACGGGUAGCCGGCCUGAGAGGGUGACCGGCCACAUUGGGACUGAGAUACGGCCCAGACUCCUACGGGAGGCAGCAGUGGGGAAUAUUGCACAAUGGGCGGAAGCCUGAUGCAGCAACGCCGCGUGCGGGAUGACGGCCUUCGGGUUGUAAACCGCUUUCGCCUGUGACGAAGCGUGAGUGACGGUAAUGGGUAAAGAAGCACCGGCUAACUACGUG